rnacentral:rRNA from 1 species
UACGAAGGGAGCUAGCGUUGUUCGGAAUCACUGGGCGUAAAGGGCGCGUAGGCGGCCACCGCAAGUCGGUUGUGAAAUCUCUGGGCUUAACCCAGAAAGGUCAACCGAUACUGCGGGGCUAGAGUGCAGAAGGGGCAACUGGAAUUCUCGGUGUAGCGGUGAAAUGCGUAGAUAUCGAGAGGAACACCUGCGGCGAAGGCGGGUUGCUGGGCUGACACUGACGCUGAAGCGCGAAAGCGAGGGGAGCGAACGGG